UUUUGAGCAAUUCUGUUUUUAAAAAUCAUUUAAAAUUUUUCAUUAGUAUUUAAGCUUUCUGUUGAUUUGAUUGUUUAAUCGGCAUAUCAACAAAGCAAAUCCAUUCAAGUGGGAUUUGGUGUGGGUUGAUGAGUUGUGUUUCAUUUGAUUAUCUAGUUAUACAUAGAUAUCUAUGUCCAUUUACCGAGCUUCUCUUAAUUUUGUUGACAGACUGCGAAGAAGUGUUCACAUGG
rnacentral:misc_RNA from 1 species